rnacentral:rRNA from 1 species
AUUGAACGCUGGCGGCAUGCCUUACACAUGCAAGUCGAACGGUAACGGGCCUUCGGGUGCCGACGAGUGGCGAACGGGUGAGUAAUACAACGGAACGUGCCCGAUCGUGGGGGGUAACGAGGCGAAAGCUUUGCUAAUACCGCAUACGAUCUACGGAUGAAAGCAGGGGACCGCAAGGCCUUGCGCGGACGGAGCGGCCGAUGGCAGAUUAGGUAGUUGGUGGGAUAAAAGCUUACCAAGCCGACGAUCUGUAGCUGGUCUGAGAGGAUGAUCAGCCACACUGGGACUGAGACACGGCCCAGACUCCUACGGGAGGCAGCAGUGGGGAAUUUUGGACAAUGGGCGCAAGCCUGAUCCAGCCAUGCCGCGUGCAGGAUGAAGGCCUUCGGGUUGUAAACUGCUUUUGUACGGAACGAAAAGCCUUCUUUUAAUACAGGAGGGUCAUGACGGUACCGUAAGAAUAAGCACCGGCUAACUACGUG